ACAUGCAAGUCGAGCGAACAGACGAGGAGCUUGCUCCUCUGACGUUAGCGGCGGACGGGUGAGUAACACGUGGAUAACCUACCUAUAAGACUGGGAUAACUUCGGGAAACCGGAGCUAAUACCGGAUAACAUGUUGAACCGCAUGGUUCAACAGUGAAAGACGGUCUUGCUGUCACUUAUAGAUGGAUCCGCGCCGCAUUAGCUAGUUGGUAAGGUAACGGCUUACCAAGGCAACGAUGCGUAGCCGACCUGAGAGGGUGAUCGGCCACACUGGAACUGAGACACGGUCCAGACUCCUACGGGAGGCAGCAGUAGGGAAUCUUCCGCAAUGGGCGAAAGCCUGACGGAGCAACGCCGCGUGAGUGAAGAAGGUCUUCGGAUCGUAAAACUCUGUUAUUAGGGAAGAACAAAUGUGUAAGUAACUAUGCACGUCUUGACGGUACCUAAUCAGAAAGCCACGGCUAACUACGUGCCAGCAGCCGCGGUAAUACGUAGGUGGCAAGCGUUAUCCGGAAUUAUUGGGCGUAAAGCGCGCGUAGGCGGUUUUUUAAGUCUGAUGUGAAAGCCCCCGGCUCAACCGUGGAGGGUCAUUGGAAACUGGAAAACUUGAGUGCAGAAGAGGAAAGUGGAAUUCCAUGUGUAGCGGUGAAAUGCGCAGAGAUAUGGAGGAACACCAGUGGCGAAGGCGACUUUCUGGUCUGUAACUGACGCUGAU
rnacentral:rRNA from 1 species